AAAGGGAGAGAGAGGAAGGAAGGAGAGAAAAUGACUUUCAUUUUAGGUGUUCCAAGAAAUCUUUCUCUUUGUGUAGAUCUGUCUCCAUUCUUUCGGCUUGAAGAAUGUUUUAAAGAAUGUCAAGAAAUAACAGAUCUGCAGUAUAUGCAGAUUGUACGCAUCAAGAAAGGAAAGCCAAGCUACCCAGGUGACUUUGGGUGCUGGGUGGAGCGUGGGGUUUAAUGUUAGGAAACAGGAGAGAGCCUGUCAUCUCUGAACAUUUCCAGCGUGUCUAUAAGAAAUACAAACAAUCAGUAUGAUUUAAAACACUAUCCACAUAAACUGAGUAUCAUGCACGGGCAAAUCUUGAUCUCAGUGUUUUCCAUUAGGG
rnacentral:lncRNA from 1 species